rnacentral:rRNA from 1 species
CCUACGGGAGGCAGCAGUGGGGAAUAUUGCGCAAUGGAGGAAACUCUGACGCAGCAACGCCGCGUGAAGGAAGAAGGUCUUCGGAUUGUAAACUUCUUUGAUUGGGGACGAACGAAUGACGGUACCCAAAAAACAAGCCACGGCUAACUACGUGCCAGCAGCCGCGGUAAUACGUAGGUGGCGAGCGUUGUCCGGAAUUACUGGGUGUAAAGGGCGUGUAGGCGGGGGUGUAAGUCAGAUGUGAAAUUCCUAGGCUUAACCUGGGCGCUGCAUCUGAAACUAUACCUCUUGAGUGCUGGAGAGGAAAGCGAAAUUCCAAGUGUAGGGGUAAAAUGCGGAGAUAUUGGGAGGAACACCAGGGGCGAAGGCGGCUUUCGGGACAGUAACUGACGCUGAGGCGCGAAAGCGUGGGGAGCAAACAGGAUUAGAUCCCCUAGUAGU